AGGCAGUAUUUUAACAGGAUGGUGUGUUUCAGAAAGGGAUGGUGAAGAAGAGCUGAGUGCGGCGCAGAGCGGCCAUUUCCUGCUGAGGAUCAGUUGUGGGAUCGUCUGUGAACUCCAGCGUCCUGCUGGAUCUACAAGUUGACCUCACCAGUUCACCCAUCUCUCUGGUUGUGAAGAGGAGCGGUCUCCAUUAGAAGAAAUGGAGCAUCGAGGCAAAACGCUGGAGGCUUAUUUCAACCCCAAAGUCCUGCUGCAUAGAUUAGGUCUGUAUGUUUUCUUAUCAGUAAUGGUUUAGGAGCAGCUUUAUGAGGUUUAUCUUCUUAA